rnacentral:lncRNA from 1 species
AAAAAAAAUUUCAGGACUGAACCUGUAGGCCAUGUCUCCACAGGACGUUUUUAUAUAAAAUUUGAGGGGAAAAAUCACACGAGACGUCCCGUGGCGACAUAUCAUGGCCGAAGAGAGAGAGAUCCACAGAUUGAAAUUAUUUAAUUAUUGAUAUCUGAUUUCAAAUUAGGGAUCAAUAACCAAUGCAGAAUCCAAGGUCACUCCGACGUCACUCUAAUUCAUCGGUGACUGCCAUCGAUGAUGGUAGUAAGCAACACUAGUAAGUCUUAAUAUUAUGAGGCAAGACAACAUCGACAUUUCUCAGUGAAUAUUGCCAAAAUGAACCGAAAAGAGAAGAUUUUCUAAUGUUUACGUCCUGGUUUUGGGAAGUACCUCUCCGAGAAGGUAUUUCAUCAAACCAUCACCAGCGCCCUCUUUUUAGGUUAGGAGGACCCUGAGUUUUGAUAAAAUACCGUUUUGGGAAGUAGCCCACCUCUCCAGGACAUCAUCAUGCUUUUCUAAAACUCUUGUUGUUUAUAAGAUCAAUGGGCUCCAUUAAUUAAUGUGUAACAUUGUUGUGGAAAAGCACGUCGAUAGUCCGUCGGAGCAUCGGAAGAAGAUUCUCAUUCACCUCAAGCCUGGCACUCCUUCUGCAAGAUCCUAUGUCCUCCUCGGACAGUUCCUUUACCAAGUUAUUCAUUCGCAGGAUAUACAGCAAACGUCUUCUCCUAUUUGGCCUCACUCCAGACGAGCACCUGCACUCAGAUUUAUUUCCAAGUAUUCUGGAAAAUCCAAGCGGCUAAUAGUCUAUGAUCUGAUUGUCCAUCCUGUAUCUGAGAGCAAUCAUUGGUAGAGGGUUAGCAGCAAAAUCAAAUCAUCUCAAAAUUCAUCAUGUAAAGCUUCAAAACAACAAUAACAUCAAGGGAGACCGAAGAUGUAGUGUAACUUAAAUAAUCAUGAAAAGUGAUAUUCAAAGUUUCAACUAUCCAGAUUUUAAUUUUUUCCAAGACAGAAAAAAAGUGUAAGUGCUGUGUUAAAAAUGAAUAUAUAUCUGAAUCAGUAUCUAAACCAAGUUACCUAAUCAGAAUUUAAGUUUUAAAGAAGAACUUAAUAUAUGGUGAGUCACAUUUUCCAUAUUUCCUUAAUGCAUGCUCUUUCAACAGAGAAAAACUUCGAUAAAUUGUGGAAUGCAGUUUUUUAUGGUUAUCAUGAAACUUCAUCUCUGCAAGUUUGAUGCCCUCUCAAGUCUGAGUUACAUACUUGUGCUCUAUAUAUUUUAUGUUGUUCAAUGCCUUGAACAUUUUCUGUCAUACUUUAUAGAUUAGCUGAAGUCAAAAUUUAAUUCUCUCAAAGUUAAGUAUGAUCUAGCUGUAUUUGUCGGCAUUAUUUAAGUAGAUCUGAAUGCCAUAAUUUAUCAUUAUAACUUUUGAAGUUUAAGUUAAAGAUACCGUGUGCCCCCAUCCCUCCAAAUUUGAGGGGUUUACAGCUAAAAUCUUAGAAUACUUUACUUACAUUUGUGAUCAAUGAGUGUUCUUGAGUACUUAAAUGUCAUUCAGACUAGAUGAGGCACAUCAAUCAAUACCUUGGUAUACAUUUUCUACGUUAAAUGUCAUUCAUCGUCGUAGGGUUUUCUAUGGCAAACAUGCUCCCCUUGAACUACCAGCAACAUGCAUCGUUCAGUGUCUUUCAGUGUCAUUCAAUUUCCUAGGAUGACCAAUAGCAUGUGUCGUUCAUUGUCCUAGGAUGACCAACGACAUGUGUCGUUCAUUAUCCUAGGAUGACCAAUGGCAUGCGCCGUUCAAUAUUCAUUAUCGUAGAAUUCCCAACUGUAUAUCGUAGGAUUUUCAAUGACAUGUCGUAGGAUUUUCUAUGGCAUGUCGUUGGAUUUUCAAUGGCAUGUCGUAGGAUGUUCAAUGGCAUGUCGUAGGAUUUUCAAUGACAUGCAUCCUUCGAUGCCAUUCAUUGUCGUAGGAUUUUCAACGACAUAUGGGGUGAAAUAUCUUUCAAUUUCUUAGAGAAAUGAAGGAUAUUCUUGGAACGACAUCCAAUGACAAGGUGGCGAAAAUGUCAUUGGAUGUCGUUCCAUUUACUCUAGGAUAUUCUACGACAAACUUUGAGUAGGGCUGAUUCAUUGGGGGGCUGGAAAAUAUUUUCGGAAAUUUAACGCUCCAGCGAUCCGGUCCGGACCAAUGCGAAUCUUUUACACUAUCGAAGAUCGGAAAACUAUACGGACCGAAUUUCGAUACGACUUUUUGUUUUCGAGAUUUCGGACUUGUAAAAUUUUCGGCAUCGACCGUCUCCUCCAGUAUGGGUCUGGUAUCGAAGCAUGGGGAGUAGGGUCUGAUGCGGGAAUUUCAAUUUUUAGUGGCGUGGCGGUGUGUAUCGGACCUUGGGUUUUGGGAUAAGCAACUGGGAUUGGAUAUUGCAAUGUUCAGUUUGUUGAAUGAAAAAUUUUUAUUUUUAUUUUUUUUUUUGUGGAAAUUUACUGUUACAGUUUAAAAAACGUUCGCGUUUCUUGAAAACGUCCGCUUUGAGAAAAAGUUCGCGUUAAGAAAACGUACGCAUUCAGAAAAGUCCGCGUUCAAAAACGUCCGCGUUCAAAAACGUCCGCGUUCUAAAAACGCUAGGGUUGUCAACCACAAACAUCGAUCCCUUCUCCUUCUCCGAACUUUAAAUCGAAACUUGUAUCAUCAACUUUCCGAUUGUUCUUCUCACGGGACAUCCUGGUGGAACUUGCAGUCGGAUGAUAGGUACUUGGAGUACAGGUACGGAGCGGAACAAAUGAGCGCCAUUAAACUCAAGAUGAAUAGAAUCUUGGUCCAUUUGGCAAUAUCUUGAAUUUGGCACUCUUCGCGAAUUGACUCGUUGGUCUGCCUCUCUCGGAGCGUAAAGCCUGCUAUUUUCCUCAGGACUUUCAUUUCUACGGUCCGAAACUGUUGUUUAGUGCGUUUGUGUCUGCCCGGGUCUCCGCAGCGUAAGUCAGCACAGGUCUUACAAUCGUUUCAUAAACUGUAACUUUGCUCUCUUUAGCCAUGUAGGUACUUAAUCCUCUAGACCAUUUCAUUUAGACAUCGCUAUUCUAGUUGCCUUGAUUGUCUGACUUCGCACCUCCGGUCCCUAAAUCCUUCACACUCGUUAUUAAAGCGCUCAAGUACUGAAACUGCUUUACUUGUUCAACUGCGGUACCGUCCACUACUAUAGCUUACAUCGAAUUGGAUUUUGCUGAUGACCAUACUUUUUGUUUUUUAGCCGACACUUUCAUGUGGAGUGUCUUUGCAGUUAGAUUGAAGGAGUGGAGCAAAUUAAACUAAAAUUUCUAAAUAUGUUUUGGCUACUACGAAAAAAUCCAAAUUAAACCUCUAACUAAAACUUUUACUCUACAAGUCAAUGUUGAGACCGAUAUGGAGUCAUUGCUGCCAAUUGUGGGGUUGUGCAGCCAAAACUAACCUCAACCAGAUAGAAAUAAUUCAAAUGAAAAUGCUCAAAAGCAUUGUUAAAGCUCAUUGGUAUUAGAGAAACGCUGAUAUAAGAGCCGAUCUCAACAUUGACUCGGUAGAGGAUUACAUCUCAAAAAUGUACAGCUCAUAUGAAAAUUGUUUGCACAAUCGUCCAAAUCCAGAAGCACUUGCAUUACUGGUCAAUGAUGAUGGCAUAAGAAGGUUAAAACGCAGGAAAAUCCACGAGCUUGGAAUCCAGGGUUUUUCAAAAAAUUUUCCGUAAUUAAAACUUCUUAACGCCUCCUAUUGCUCUCUGGGCAUGUCAGGAGACACUUGGUUUUUGGACGGUUCAGCCCGUCGUAACACAGUUAAAAAGAAAAGACAUUUUUAUUUCAUAAUAACUAUGUUUUAUUUUUACUCCAGUUAAUUUAUAGGUAGUACACAUAUGUUAAAAUUUAGUUAAUAUUUAGUAUAAGUUAAACAAGAACUAAAACAAGCAUUUUAAAGACAUUUUCUUUGGCUAAAUGCAUUUAUGUACGAUUGAUAAAUUUAUGUUGUGCAAAUUAAAAAAAAUAAAUAAAUAAAAAAACCGGUAUAAUUAACCGUUAACAUUCAUUUACAAUAAUUUCUGGCCGCAAAUUCUAAAUCACUGG